UACGUAGGGACCAAGCGUUGUUCGGAUUUACUGGGCGUAAAGGGCGCGUAGGCGGCGUGUUAAGUCACUUGUGAAAUCUCUAAGCUUAACUCAGAACGGCCAAGUGAUACUGCAGUGCUAGAGUGUGGAAGGGGCAAUCGGAAUUCUUGGUGUAGCGGUGAAAUGCGUAGAUAUCAAGAGGAACACCUGAGGUGAAGACGGGUUGCUGGGCCAACACUGACGCUGAGGCGCGAAAGCCAGGGGAGCAAACGGG
rnacentral:rRNA from 1 species